GGUUAAGGUGCUAGCCCUCUCUCUAUGGUUUUGUCUCUCUGCUAUGGUUCUCUCUCUCGAUUAGGGUAUUAGCCGUCUCUCUCUUUCACAGCUCUGGAUCUCCCUCUCUCGGCUUUGGUUCUCUCUCUUUGGUUCUUUCUAUGCUCUGGUUCUGUCUCUCUAUGUUAGUUUUCGAAAAGCUUUCUCUAAGAAUGGUUGAACGGUUUGUUUGCUUCAGUUUAUGAAUUGGGUUCUUUUUUGUUUUAUUUUUUUCUGAGUUGCAUUUCAAUCGAUGCCUUUCUCGAUUCAUGUUUGUGGGAUUCAUUUUUUCCCCUUUAUGAGUUGGGUUUUUAUGAAUUCUCUUUGCGGCUUUCUCUGCUGAUGGUUAACGAGCUUAAUUAGUUAAUGGCUUUGUGAGUGUGCUUUUCUAUGAACUUUUUGGGGUUUGAAAUUUUCUUUGAGGAUUGUUGAUUGAUUUAUUUAGUUCAUUUUGUAAAUUGGAUUCAUUUUGUAGUUGUAACUACUUUUACCAAUUUUUCGCUGUUUCCAUUAGUUUUACAGUGAGCAGGCUUCGAGAGACCUUAUGAACUACUUCAACUUGAGGUGGGAAGAUGGCAGUUUCAUCUACAUGACUGUGAGUCAUUGAUCAAGUUAUUGGAGAAUCAACAAUAUUUGAUUGCGCAUGGGAAUUCUCAAAAGCGUGUAAUCAUAGUCAUAUUAGCCUUGAGUUUAGUGAUUCAUGUUGUAUGUCUUUCUCCUUAUAAAAAAAGGAGUAAGGUGUACUUCUCAAUUUUACAUGUAUAUUUCUUUCUCCUAGUAAAAAGGAGUAAGCGUGUAAUCAUAAUAAGGUGUACUCAAUCUUAAUAUAUUUCUAUUUGGAUCAAAGGCAAUUUCUAUCUG